UAUUGGAACGAACCCCGGCACACGUUGAGUGCAGCCGCUUGCCUGUUACGCAACGCUCUGGGGGUUCCCUAUCUGCCCUCUACGUUGGUAGAGGAGGCUCUGAAAAGGGCUUUAGAACGUACUAAUGCUGCUUACGCCCACACCAAGGAGAGGGUGAAGACAUCUCUGUCGGAGGGUGCUCUGAGACCCAGCGACCUCCUGGCUCAGUUCAAGCAGAUCG